CUCAUAGCUGUAGCGUUCCAGCCUUUUUCUUGUUUUGCCUGAAUGCCUGUGACCCAUUGCGCCUAAUUUUUGAUGUCUGGUCUUGUCAGCCACCUUGUGUGAUUUUUCCCAGCAACAAGAGCUUAUUACUGACCAAGGAACCACUUUUUCACUUUACAACCGCAGCCUGCAGUGUCCAGAGUGCAGAUGCCCUCAGACCACCUCAGUCAAACCAGACACAAUCUUUCCACAGUGUUUAUUUAUGGGGAGACCUCCAGGAUUACUCAAACAGCAUGAAAUCGCUGGGCCAUUGUUGGUUAGGUUGGCAAACAGAAGACAAUUGCAGCCUGAAUUUGAGCCACUGACAGCUUUGUUGCAUGAUUUACAGCAGUCCCACUAAUACUGGACCUUGGUGCAGCCAGAUGCCUUUUAACAAUCAGGCCAAAGUUGGGCCGACAGAGUUCUGAUAUUGGCAUGAGUUCCUCGUAUAUAUUCUCAAAUAGUCACAGCUGCUACUGAUGAUGCCAGGUUUUGUCAGCAAAUGCAGCAUCUCAAGGCACUGUAGACUAUAAAUACAAGUCACAAUACAAAUAAGGUUUUUCCUUCCCCCUCUACUGAAGUAUGUCAAUACUAGUUGAACAACUUAUUCACAUUUUAAUUUCCUCUCACCUAGAUUAUUGCAAUUUAUUAUUUACUUGCUUGAAUGUUGCAGAAGUUGCCUAUCAAAAGUUAAGAACUUCUUACAAACACUAGAUGUAGUGAAAGUAUCUCUCUGGUCUUGGCUGAGUUACACUGGCUCCCUGUUUGUUUUCGAAACUCAAUUUAAGAUUCAGCUGAUCACUUUUUAAAUCCCUGCAUGGCCUGGCUCCGCCUUACCUUUCAGUUCCAUUAACCCCUUAUUCUGCACCUCAGGUCUGAGAACCAAAUGUUGUUAGAAGUUCCACGGUCCAGGCUUAAGACAAAGGGCGAUGAUGCUUUUACUGUUUUUAGCACCAACGCUUAGGAACAAACUCCACCUCAGUAUUGGAUCAGCUGAGAUACCAGAAAGCUGGUUCGCCCAUGCCCUGGGCAUGAUUACCAUCAAGGCCUGCAGCCUUGCCUUGGUGGAGUCUCUUCAUCUCUCAUAACUUUGCUCUUCGUCACAGUCAUCCUGGGGGAGCGUGGUCAUCUCUGCGAAGGCUGGAGUCGGGGGGUUGUGAUCAGAGGUGCUCAGCAGGGGGGGAGUAGAGAUCCUUCAGAUCAUCAGUGAUCCAAGGCUUGUUAUAGGGGAAAACAGAAUACAGUCCUUUUUGGAGUGCUGGUGUCGUAACAGAAGUUGAUGUAGUCUGUCAGUAAUGUUAUUAAUGUCACCCCCAUGUGGUUUGCAGAGCACAUCUCUAUCUGUAGCUUCAAAGCAGUCCUACAGGUUCUUACUGGCCUCAUGACUCCACAUUAUGUUUUACUUCUGU